AACUUAUAUGAUAGGAUAAGCAUUUACGAUAUAAACAUAUAAAUGAUACAAAGGUGUAACCUUGGCCGGGAAGGAAUGGCUGAUCCAGGCCUACAGGGGCUGAAGCCGGAGCCCUGAUGCUCCCUUCCGGUCUUGGAGGGGCGAGACGGUCCCCACGCAGGCCCCACCUCGAGUGUCUGAUUUCAUGGACGGACCUUUAAUCAGAAGGAUUUUUCCCCUGAGGCAGCCCCAGCAAGUCCCACGAGCAGAGGCCUGUUCCCAGGAGUGGGGCCAGUGCUCCUGCUAACUAAACCUGCCUCGCACAGCGAUGGGGCCUCCCUCCAGGACCGACUGUUCCAGUCCUGCAGGAAGCCUGUCAGGGCAAAGACCGAGCCAGGACCUCCCGGCCACCGCCCUGCAUUGUUGGUCUUCCGGAGCGGAGAAGUCUCAAGGUCUUCACAACAACAACCUCGCUGCGCCGCGUUCCCAUCUCGCACCUUCCCUGAGGGCUUGCUGGCCGCUUCUCCAGUGGGAGCACCUUGGCCUCAGCAGAGCCAGAGCCCCUACAGGGACCUUCUGAACCCUCAGGAAUGCAGAAGCCUCUUGGAGAAAGCAGCCCAGCACUUAGAAUGAUGCCGUCUGUUUCACAUUUAGGAUGGAAAGGCUAGUCUGGCAAAGAUCAUUUAACCACUAUGUCUUUUUCAUUUCUGGAAUCUGCUUACUUAAGAGAGGCCUACUGAAAAAAAGAAAAAAGAGCCCUCCUAUCAUUUUCCACAGAAGAACUUUUUUGGCUGCCUCUAAGAGCCCCAGCACUCCAGAAGAAGGGUGUCAGGAGAAACCGUGUCAUUGCAGGAGGCCUGGCCCCACAGGUGGGUGCAAGGGGAGGCCCGGGGUUCCUGUGGGGACAUGACCCAUCGCCUCCUGUGCCUUUCAGGCCCCUGGGAUGAGCUUCUGGUUGCGGGGGCCCCGUGGGCAGAAGUGGGGCUAUGCUGAUGGCUUCUGGUCUGUGGACAUUGGCUGUGGGAGCCUCUGUUGGGCCAACACCAGGACACCUUCUUCAGGCGGCUGAACGCAGGCUCCUCCGCCCAACUGGGCUUCUUCCCGGCAUCCCAAGGUAGGAAGUCUUGGCGUCUUGUGUCUCAGCCACAUAAACCUGGUUCCAUUUGUUGCCAGGAAGCCACGCAUGGACCCUGAGUGCAGGGCGCCAGCAGCAGCUCCCACCGCAUAAAGAUGUGAUCUUUACUCAGAAGGAAUGACCCGUGGCCUUGGGACUUGGCAGUCAUGUGUCCGGAGCCAGGGGCUCUCAUCCCAAAGGGCUGAUGCAUUCCUUGGUCCAGUGUCAACACGCAGCACAGCCUUUCUGAAAAUUCUAAAAUGCAGGGAGGGUCCCAAAGAGCACAAGGGAAGCCGCUUGCUGUCUUCACGUGCAUGAGGACCAGCGAGUAGGAGCCCUCUGACAGCUGCUCCUCAAGUCUUGGGUGGCCCUCUUGCUGGCAGGCAGACAACUCCCCCUCCCCCACCACUGGACAGUCAUCGCUAUGGGACUAUGGGUUGGCUCUAAUAUUGUCACAAAUGCGCCGACUCCAAGGUCACAUUCUGUAACACGAGUGAGACCUACUUACAGUUCCUCGUAACUCUGAUCACCGACCUUGAAGAUGUGUCAACUCACCCGUCCAAGAGAGACGUAAGCAGGGGGCACACAUCCGCAAACACCACUUGCUGGGACUCGGCCGGACCAUAAACCCUGAGGCGCAGAGGGAAAUGAGAGAUGUACGUUAGGAGCCAAAUAGGAGAAGGAGAGCCUCACCCACCCCCAUCUAAGCCUCCAGCACAGUCAGGAUCCAUCACUGCGACAAAUGUCUCAUCGUGGCCAAUGGACCCAGAGUAUCUCCAGAAGCAGCAGUAAUUUUGAGCAUAUAAAAUGACUGUGCCUGAUCAGGAAGGCAUUUGGAGCAAGUGGAAUAUGCUCCUUAUGUCUCUCCUGACAUUGGAAACCACUUCUCUGUCUUUGAAGAAGAGCAUCUAGAGACUCGAGCGCUCCCAGAGAAGGACUGUGCGUGCCUCUCUGCUGCCAGUAAGGAUGUCCAGCCCCGCGAGAGAAGCCAGGCGCGGUGACAUUUUGGCCAUGGAGGGCGUGGCCCCAGGAGCCAGCGUGGCCCAUCGGGAAGGCCAGGCCGAGUGGGGGCCCUUCAUUCCGCACAGCCAGCACCCUCCCCUGGCUCCAGCCUACCCCCAGCAUCCCUGCAGGCAUCCAGGGGUCUCUGAGCUCUUCUCCUUUCUCUGUGCCUUGGACUGUUUUGAGUCCUGGUUAACUGAGCUGUCAGCACCCGGUUCGGAGGCCCCUGGCUCCACCUGCAUGUCUGGGAGCUUGGGGAAGCCUCAAACUCGUGACCAGGGGAGUCAACACGAACAUGUGGCAGGUCCACGACGGCAUGUAAGGAGGGAAGGCCGCCAGGGGUCCUCCGGCCUCUUGAUACGUAAACUAGACUUGAGACAAUAAAAUUACUUAUUAUUUUUCUUAGGGCA